GCGCAGAUGAUGGAAAAUUUCACUAUUUGGAAAAGAAUGACAUGAACAAAGGAACCACUGAUGCGC
rnacentral:snoRNA from 1 species